rnacentral:rRNA from 1 species
GCAGUCGACGCGUUGGCCCAAUUGAUUGAUGGUGCUUGCACCUGAUUGAUUUUGGUCGCCAACGAGUGGCGGACGGGUGAGUAACACGUAGGUAACCUGCCCAGAAGCGGGGGACAACAUUUGGAAACAGAUGCUAAUACCGCAUAACAGCGUUGUUCGCAUGAACAACGCUUAAAAGAUGGCUUCUCGCUAUCACUUCUGGAUGGACCUGCGGUGCAUUAGCUUGUUGGUGGGGUAACGGCCUACCAAGGCGAUGAUGCAUAGCCGAGUUGAGAGACUGAUCGGCCACAAUGGGACUGAGACACGGCCCAUACUCCUACGGGAGGCAGCAGUAGGGAAUCUUCCACAAUGGGCGCAAGCCUGAUGGAGCAACACCGCGUGAGUGAAGAAGGGUUUCGGCUCGUAAAGCUCUGUUGUUAAAGAAGAACACGUAUGAGAGUAACUGUUCAUACGUUGACGGUAUUUAACCAGAAAGUCACGGCUAACUACGUGCCAGCAGCCGCGGUAAUACGUAGGUGGCAAGCGUUAUCCGGAUUUAUUGGGCGUAAAGAGAGUGCAGGCGGUUUUCUAAGUCUGAUGUGAAAGCCUUCGGCUUAACCGGAGAAGUGCAUCGGAAACUGGAUAACUUGAGUGCAGAAGAGGGUAGUGGAACUCCAUGUGUAGCGGUGGAAUGCGUAGAUAUAUGGAAGAACACCAGUGGCGAAGGCGGCUACCUGGUCUGCAACUGACGCUGAGACUCGAAAGCAUGGGUAGCGAACAGGAUUAGAUACCCUGGUAGUCCAUGCCGUAAACGAUGAGUGCUAGGUGUUGGAGGGUUUCCGCCCUUCAGUGCCGGAGCUAACGCAUUAAGCACUCCGCCUGGGGAGUACGACCGCAAGGUUGAAACUCAAAGGAAUUGACGGGGGCCCGCACAAGCGGUGGAGCAUGUGGUUUAAUUCGAAGCUACGCGAAGAACCUUACCAGGUCUUGACAUCUUGCGCCAACCCUAGAGAUAGGGCGUUUCCUUCGGGAACGCAAUGACAGGUGGUGCAUGGUCGUCGUCAGCUCGUGUCGUGAGAUGUUGGGUUAAGUCCCGCAACGAGCGCAACCCUUGUUACUAGUUGCCAGCAUUAAGUUGGGCACUCUAGUGAGACUGCCGGUGACAAACCGGAGGAAGGUGGGGACGACGUCAGAUCAUCAUGCCCCUUAUGACCUGGGCUACACACGUGCUACAAUGGACGGUACAACGAGUCGCGAACUCGCGAGGGCAAGCAAAUCUCUUAAAACCGUUCUCAGUUCGGACUGCAGGCUGCAACUCGCCUGCACGAAGUCGGAAUCGCUAGUAAUCGCGGAUCAGCAUGCCGCGGUGAAUACGUUCCCGGGCCUUGUACACACCGCCCGUCACACCAUGAGAGUUUGUAACACCCAAAGUCGGUGGGGUAACCUUUAGGAGCCAGCCGCCUAAA